rnacentral:rRNA from 1 species
GGUGAACGCUGGCGGUAGGCCUAACACAUGCAAGUCGAACGGCAGCACAGUAAGAGCUUGCUCUUACGGGUGGCGAGUGGCGGACGGGUGAGGAAUACAUCGGAAUCUACUUUUUCGUGGGGGAUAACGUAGGGAAACUUACGCUAAUACCGCAUACGACCUACGGGUGAAAGCAGGGGAUCUUCGGACCUUGCGCGAUUGAAUGAGCCGAUGUCGGAUUAGCUAGUUGGCGGGGUAAAGGCCCGCCAAGGCGACGAUCCGUAGCUGGUCUGAGAGGAUGAUCAGCCACACUGGAACUGAGACACGGUCCAGACUCCUACGGGAGGCAGCAGUGGGGAAUAUUGGACAAUGGGCGCAAGCCUGAUCCAGCCAUACCGCGUGGGUGAAGAAGGCCUUCGGGUUGUAAAGCCCUUUUGUUGGGAAAGAAAAGCAGCAGGUUAAUACCCCGCUGUUCUGACGGUACCCAAAGAAUAAGCACCGGCUAACUUCGUG